CGGCAACAGCUCAAAUUUGAAAUCUGGCCCUUGUGGUCCGAGUUGUAAUUUGUAGAGGAUGCUUUUGGUGAGGUGCCUUCCGAGUGCCCUGGAACGGGACGCCAUAGAGGGUGAGAGCCCCGUCUGGUUGGACACCGAGCCUCUGUAAAGCUCCUUCGACGAGUCGAGUAGUUUGGGAAUGCUGCUCUAAAUGGGAGGUAUAUGUCUUCUAAAGCUAAAUAUUGGCCAGAGACCGAUAGCGCACAAGUAGAGUGAUCGAAAGAUGAAAAGCACUUUGAAAAGAGGGUUAAAAAGUACGUGAAAUUGUUGAAAGGGAAGCGCUUGUGACCAGACUUGGGCCCGGUCAAUCAUCCAGGGUUCUCCCUGGUGCACUUGGCCGGCCCAGGCCAGCAUCAGUUUGUCGCGGGGGAUAAAGACGUUGGGAAUGUGGCUCCUCCGGGAGUGUUAUAGCCCUUCGUGCAAUACCCUGCUUCGGACUGAGGUUCGCGCAUCUGCAAGGAUGCUGGCGUAAUGGUCAUCAGCGACCCGUCUUGAAACACGGACCAAGGAGUCGUCUUCGUAUGCGAGUGUUCGGGUGUCAAACCCCUACGCGUAAUGAAAGUGAACGCAGGUGAGAGCUUCGGCGCAUCAUCGACCGAUCCUGAUGUUCUCGGAUGGAUUUGAGUAAGAGCAUACGGGGCCGGACCCGAAAGAAGGUGAACUAUGCCUGUAUAGGGUGAAGCCAGAGGAAACUCUGGUGGAGGCUCGCAGCGGUUCUGACGUGCAAAUCGAUCGUCAAAUAUGGGCAUGGGGGGCGAA
rnacentral:rRNA from 2 species